AUUGAACGCUGGCGGCAGGCCUAACACAUGCAAGUCGAACGGUAACAGGAAGACGCUUGCUUCUUUGCUGACGAGUGGCGGACGGGUGAGUAAUGUCUGGGAAACUGCCUGAUGGAGGGGGAUAACUACUGGAAACGGUAGCUAAUACCGCAUAACGUCGCAAGACCAAAGAGGGGGACCUUCUGGCCUCUUGCCAUCGGAUGUGCCCCGAUGGGAUUAGCUAGUAGGGGGGGUAACGGCUCACCUAGGCGACGAUCCCUAGCUGGUCUGAGAGGAUGACCAGCCACACUGGAACUGAGACACGGUCCAGACUCCUACGGGAGGCAGCAGUGGGGAAUAUUGCACAAUGGGCGCAAGCCUGAUGCGGCCAUGCCGCGGGUAUGAAGAAGGCCUUCGGGUUGUAAAGUACUUUCAGCGGGGAGGAAGGGAGUAAAGUUAAUACCUGUGCUCAUUGACGUUACCCGCAGAAGAAGCACCGGCUAACUCCGU
rnacentral:rRNA from 1 species